UACGUAGGGGGCAAGCGUUGUCCGGAUUUAUUGGGCGUAAAGAGCGUGUAGGCGGCUUUACAGGUCCGUUGUGAAAACUCGAGGCUCAACCUCGAGACGCCGGUGGAAACCGUAAGGCUAGAGUCCGGAAGAGGAGAGUGGAAUUCCUGGUGUAGCGGUGAAAUGCGCAGAUAUCAGGAGGAACACCCGUGGCGAAAGCGGCUCUCUGGGACGGUACUGACGCUGAUGCGCGAAAGCGUGGGGAGCAAACGGG
rnacentral:rRNA from 1 species